rnacentral:tRNA from 2 species
GCGGAUGUAGCCAAGUGGAUCAAGGCAGUGA